rnacentral:rRNA from 1 species
UACAGGGGGUGCAAACGUUGCUCGGAAUCAUUGGGCGUAAAGCGCGUGUAGGCGGUCCGGUAAGUCCGCUGUGAAAGUCGGGGGCUCAACCCUCGAAUGCCGGUGGAUACUGUCGGGCUAGAGUGCGGAAGAGGCGGGUGGAAUUCCUGGUGGUAGCGGUGAAAUGCGUAGAUAUUGGGAGGAACACCGGUGGCCGAAGG